rnacentral:lncRNA from 1 species
CAGCAACAUAGAAAUAGCCAUUGAUCAUUUCAAUCAGAAAAGAUCCUGCUAAAUGUGUCCCCUGACUUUGUGAAGAUGUGGUGACGUGGCCGUUUCAUCCAAGUGUUCUGGUCCAGCCCAGAGGUAGGUGGAGUUAGAUUUCUGGAGCCUCGUGGAGGCGUUCUGUGGCUACACAGUGACCCCUACUGCUCAUUACGGGAGUGAAGAAAGCCUAGAGCGAAAUCAGGAAAACAACGUGCUGAUUCCUGAGCCUCAGAAAACUGAGAAGUAGGCAGGGCUAUACCAUUUUCUCUGCACUUUAUGAGCAUAAUAAUUCUUCAAAGGACUGGCUGCAUCUACAAAUACCUACUAAAUGGAAACCGUCAAAUCAAAUGGGAGGCUCACAGCAGAUGCCAACUCCACCGAGCGGAUCUGGGCCAGGGUGAAGAAACGGAACUGCAGAGAGGUUAAGCCACCUGGGGCAGGAACUAGGAUGGAAAUCCAGGCAGUCUUGUUGCUGAGACCAUCUCCAUAAUCCUCUGCUAAACUUCUUCCUACCGAGAAAGACAUGUUCUGGGAGAGCAAGGGCUAAGAGGCUGCUCCUUGAUUCCCCCUGAGUGCCCGCCCUCCAGCCCUCACUCCAGUGAGGGGCCUGACCUGAAACAGCUGUCUGCCCUUGCCAGGCUCAGAGAGUCUCACACUGUCACCAGGCUGGCGUGUAGUGGCGCAAU